rnacentral:rRNA from 1 species
CGCCCUUAAGUGACGGUACCUGAAUAAGAAGCCCCGGCUAACUACGUGCCAGCAGCCGCGGUAAUACGUAGGGGGCAAGCGUUAUCCGGAAUUACUGGGUGUAAAGGGAGCGUAGGCGGCACGCCAAGCCAGAUGUGAAAGCCCGAGGCUUAACCUCGCGGAUUGCAUUUGGAACUGGCGAGCUAGAGUACAGGAGAGGAAAGCGGAAUUCCUAGUGUAGCGGUGAAAUGCGUAGAUAUUAGGAAGAACACCAGUGGCGAAGGCGGCUUUCUGGACUGAAACUGACGCUGAGGCUCGAAAGCGUGGGGAGCAAACAGGAUUAGAUACCCUGGUAGUCCACGCCGUAAACGAUGAGUGCUAGGUGUCGGGGAGGAAUCCUCGGUGCCGCAGCUAACGCAAUAAGCACUCCACCUGGGGAGUACGACCGCAAGGUUGAAACUCAAAGGAAUUGACGGGGGCCCGCACAAGCGGUGGAGCACGUGGUUUAAUUCGAAGCAACGCGAAGAACCUUACCAAGGCUUGACAUCCCGAUGACCGCUCUAGAGAUAGAGUUUCUCUUCGGAGCAUCGGUGACAGGUGGUGCAUGGUUGUCGUCAGCUCGUGUCGUGAGAUGUUGGGUUAAGUCCCGCAACGAGCGCAACCCUUAUCCUUAGUAGCCAUCAUUGAGUUGGGCACUCUAGGGAGACUGCCGUGGAUAACACGGAGGAAGGUGGGGAUGACGUCAAAUCAUCAUGCCCCUUAUGUCUUGGGCUACACACGUGCUACAAUGGCUGGUAACAGAGUGAAGCGAGACGGCGACGUUAAGCAAAUCACAAAAACCCAGUCCCAGUUCGGAUUGUAGUCUGCAACUCGACUACAUGAAGCUGGAAUCGCUAGUAAUCGCGAAUCAGAAUGUCGCGGUGAAUACGUUCCCGGGCCUUGUACACACCGACGGUCACACCAUGGGAGUUGGAAGCACCCGAAGUCGGUGACCUAACCGUAAGGAAGGAGCCGCCGAA